AGCAGCCGCGGUAAUUCCAGCUCCAAUAGCGUAUAUUAAAGUUGUUGCAGUUAAAAAGCUCGUAGUUGAAUUUCGGGAUCAGUACGCUGGUCGCGCCUCCGGUAUGAACUGGUGUCACUGAUUCCUCCCUUCUGAAGAACCAUCAUGCCAUUCACUUGGUGUGGUGGGGAAUCAGGACUGUUACUUUGAAAAAUUAGAGUGUUUAAAGCAGGCUCACGCUUGAAUACAUUAGCAUGGAAUAAUGAAAUAGGACGUUGAUCCUAUUUUGUUGGUUUCUAGGAUUGACGUAAUGAUUAAUAGGGAUAGUUGGGGGCAUUAGUAUUCAAUUGUCAGAGGUGAAAUUCUUGGAUUUAUUGAAGACUAACUACUGCGAAAGCAUUUGCCAAGGAUGUUUUCAUUAAUCAAGAACGAAAGUUAGGGGAUCGAAGACGAUCAGAUACCGUCGUAGUCUUAACCAUAAACUAUGCCGACUAGGGAUCGGAUGAUGUUAAUUUUUUAAUGUACU
rnacentral:rRNA from 1 species